rnacentral:lncRNA from 1 species
UGGCAAUUUAAGGAAUAUCUUCUCUUAAUAACUAGUAGCUUUUUAUUGCCCAUGUUUGUCUCUUACUGCAAAUUAUUUUGAUAUUGUUACACAAAUUCUUCCUUCAACAGUACUAUUCAUAACGCCUCCUGUGUGUGAAGCCUGUGUGUACAGAAAACCCAGAACUGUUAAGAAUAAACUUUUGGAUCACUCUAGUCCAUGGUAGUUUGCUGCCCCAGAUAGUGUUUUGGGAUUGCAUGAGAUAAAGGACUCCAAACUGCAAGGUCUGUUUCUGCAUUUGCAGAAGCCCUGGACAAAAAUACAAACGGAAGGCUCAGGCCUGUGUCUUACCCUUUGUCUCCUCCCACCGAUGGCUCUAACCUUCACAUCCAGGGAUUUGGUCAAAGACAGAAAAGGCUUUACUUAACUGCUAAGAAAAGUCCUUAAUCUGAAUGAACUUGAACUAUUUAGCCCAGGAAGACUCAUGCACAGUGUCAGCAAAUGACAUUCAAAUGACUUUAAAAUAAUCUAGUCUUCCAGAGUUCUGUGUUUGGCUCGUGGAAACAAGAAUUUGAAAGGAACAAAGUG